UGCAUCAUAUCCUACCUCGGAAAUUGGAAAAUCAUUAUCAUUACCAAAUUGCAGACAUAUAUAUAUAUAGUUAUGGCCGGCUCUUAUUUCCCUCUAAGGUUCAUAUUCGUGGCCGUGUUUGUUUCUGUUAUCUUCAUCUCGAUCAUGGCAGCGAAUCCGUCCGAGGCCGCUCGAGUUUCUCGAGAACUGCUUAAGGCUAACACUACCACCACCCCCGUAAUGUAUUGCCUGGACGACUGUGUUGGGUGUUGCGAACCACCGCCGCCGGGCUCAUGCUGUCUCAAGUGCGGUUGCUGAUCGACCUUCUUUAACUAUAAUAUACAUACACUACAAAUAUAUUGUUUGUAUCAAUAUGUUUUUUUUUUUUUUUUUUUUUUUUUGUGUGUGUGUGUGUGUGUGUGUCUUCUGCAAGUCGUUUAGUAAAUUAUGUCUAAAUUUCUCAUUAUGUAUGUGCUUAGAACAACUAAUUAAUAAAAAUUUGUGAUAAAGAAUUAUAUAUAUUCGUUGUUUACGUACUUUGAU